rnacentral:rRNA from 1 species
ACUAAGCGUACACGGUGGAUGCCCUGGCAGUCAGAGGCGAUGAAGGACGUGCUAAUCUGCGAUAAGCGUCGGUAAGGUGAUAUGAACCGUUAUAACCGGCGAUUUCCGAAUGGGGAAACCCAGUGUGAUUCGUCACACUAUCAUUAACUGAAUCCAUAGGUUAAUGAGGCGAACCGGGGGAACUGAAACAUCUAAGUACCCCGAGGAAAAGAAAUCAACCGAGAUUCCCCCAGUAGCGGCGAGCGAACGGGGAGCAGCCCAGAGCCUGAAUCAGUGUGUGUGUUAGUGGAAGCGUCUGGAAAGGCGUGCGAUACAGGGUGACAGCCCCGUACACAAAAAUGCACAUAUUGUGAGCUCGAUGAGUAGGGCGGGACACGUGGUAUCCUGUCUGAAUAUGGGGGGACCAUCCUCCAAGGCUAAAUACUCCUGACUGACCGAUAGUGAACCAGUACCGUGAGGGAAAGGCGAAAAGAACCCCGGCGAGGGGAGUGAAAAAGAACCUGAAACCGUGUACGUACAAGCAGUGGGAGCACGCUUAGGCGUGUGACUGCGUACCUUUUGUAUAAUGGGUCAGCGACUUAUAUUCUGUAGCAAGGUUAACCGAAUAGGGGAGCCGAAGGGAAACCGAGUCUUAACUGGGCGUUAAGUUGCAGGGUAUAGACCCGAAACCCGGUGAUCUAGCCAUGGGCAGGUUGAAGGUUGGGUAACACUAACUGGAGGACCGAACCGACUAAUGUUGAAAAAUUAGCGGAUGACUUGUGGCUGGGGGUGAAAGGCCAAUCAAACCGGGAGAUAGCUGGUUCUCCCCGAAAGCUAUUUAGGUAGCGCCUCGUGAAUUCAUCUCCGGGGGUAGAGCACUGUUUCGGCAAGGGGGUCAUCCCGACUUACCAACCCGAUGCAAACUGCGAAUACCGGAGAAUGUUAUCACGGGAGACACACGGCGGGUGCUAACGUCCGUCGUGAAGAGGGAAACAACCCAGACCGCCAGCUAAGGUCCCAAAGUCAUGGUUAAGUGGGAAACGAUGUGGGAAGGCCCAGACAGCCAGGAUGUUGGCUUAGAAGCAGCCAUCAUUUAAAGAAAGCGUAAUAGCUCACUGGUCGAGUCGGCCUGCGCGGAAGAUGUAACGGGGCUAAACCAUGCACCGAAGCUGCGGCAGCGACACUAUGUGUUGUUGGGUAGGGGAGCGUUCUGUAAGCCUGUGAAGGUGUACUGUGAGGUAUGCUGGAGGUAUCAGAAGUGCGAAUGCUGACAUAAGUAACGAUAAAGCGGGUGAAAAGCCCGCUCGCCGGAAGACCAAGGGUUCCUGUCCAACGUUAAUCGGGGCAGGGUGAGUCGACUCCUAAGGCGAGGCCGAAAGGCGUAGUCGAUGGGAAACAGGUUAAUAUUCCUGUACUUGGUGUUACUGCGAAGGGGGGACGGAGAAGGCUAUGUUGGCCGGGCGACGGUUGUCCCGGUUUAAGCGUGUAGGCUGGUUUUCCAGGCAAAUCCGGAAAACUAAGGCUGAGGCGUGAUGACGAGGCACUACGGUGCUGAAGCAACAAAUGCCCUGCUUCCAGGAAAAGCCUCUAAGCAUCAGGUAACAUCAAAUCGUACCCCAAACCGACACAGGUGGUCAGGUAGAGAAUACCAAGGCGCUUGAGAGAACUCGGGUGAAGGAACUAGGCAAAAUGGUGCCGUAACUUCGGGAGAAGGCACGCUGAUAUGUAGGUGAAGUCCCUCGCGGAUGGAGCUGAAAUCAGUCGAAGAUACCAGCUGGCUGCAACUGUUUAUUAAAAACACAGCACUGUGCAAACACGAAAGUGGACGUAUACGGUGUGACGCCUGCCCGGUGCCGGAAGGUUAAUUGAUGGGGUCAGCGCAAGCGAAGCUCUUGAUCGAAGCCCCGGUAAACGGCGGCCGUAACUAUAACGGUCCUAAGGUAGCGAAAUUCCUUGUCGGGUAAGUUCCGACCUGCACGAAUGGCGUAAUGAUGGCCAGGCUGUCUCCACCCGAGACUCAGUGAAAUUGAACUCGCUGUGAAGAUGCAGUGUACCCGCGGCAAGACGGAAAGACCCCGUGAACCUUUACUAUAGCUUGACACUGAACAUUGAGCCUUGAUGUGUAGGAUAGGUGGGAGGCUUUGAAGUGUGGACGCCAGUCUGCAUGGAGCCGACCUUGAAAUACCACCCUUUAAUGUUUGAUGUUCUAACGUUGACCCGUAAUCCGGGUUGCGGACAGUGUCUGGUGGGUAGUUUGACUGGGGCGGUCUCCUCCUAAAGAGUAACGGAGGAGCACGAAGGUUGGCUAAUCCUGGUCGGACAUCAGGAGGUUAGUGCAAUGGCAUAAGCCAGCUUGACUGCGAGCGUGACGGCGCGAGCAGGUGCGAAAGCAGGUCAUAGUGAUCCGGUGGUUCUGAAUGGAAGGGCCAUCGCUCAACGGAUAAAAGGUACUCCGGGGAUAACAGGCUGAUACCGCCCAAGAGUUCAUAUCGACGGCGGUGUUUGGCACCUCGAUGUCGGCUCAUCACAUCCUGGGGCUGAAGUAGGUCCCAAGGGUAUGGCUGUUCGCCAUUUAAAGUGGUACGCGAGCUGGGUUUAGAACGUCGUGAGACAGUUCGGUCCCUAUCUGCCGUGGGCGCUGGAGAACUGAGGGGGGCUGCUCCUAGUACGAGAGGACCGGAGUGGACGCAUCACUGGUGUUCGGGUUGUCAUGCCAAUGGCACUGCCCGGUAGCUAAAUGCGGAAGAGAUAAGUGCUGAAAGCAUCUAAGCACGAAACUUGCCCCGAGAUGAGUUCUCCCUGACUCCUUGAGAGUCCUGAAGGAACGUUGAAGACGACGACGUUGAUAGGCCGGGUGUGUAAGCGCAGCGAUGCGUUGAGCUAACCGGUACUAAUGAACCGUGAGGCUUAACC